ACUGGGAAUAGUCAUUUUAAUUUCUUUUAGGAUUUCCCAGUGUGAUUGGCUGCAUAGAUGCACACACAUCCCCAUCACAGCUCCCUCACAUCAUGAACAGGAAGUCCAUUCACAGCAUAAAUGUGCAGGUAGGCUACAGGUAGACUGACUACUGUUUCUAAAUGUUAAAGACUGCAUCAUAGUUCAACAUCUGUCAUUCUCUGCACUGUCCAGAUCAUAUGUGAUGCUGCAUACAUAAUUUCUAAUGUGGAGGCCAAGUGGUCUGGGUCUGUUCAUGACUCCAGGAUUUAUGGAGAGUCUAACCUGAGCAACAGACUGCAGCAUGGAGAGUUUGAUGGCCUUCUGCUGGGUGACAGGGGUUACCAUGCCAACCCAGGCUGAUGACCUCAUACCCUGACCCUGAACCAGGCCCCCAACAGAACUUCAACCGGACUCACUGCAGGACCAGAGCCCGGGUGGAGAUGACCAUAGGCCUGCUGAAAGCCCGUUUCCAGAGCCUACAUCUCCUUGGGGUGACCCCUGAGAGGGCCUGUGAUAUUACUGUGGCAUGUGUUGUUCUUCAUAAUAUUACCACUAUUAGAGGAGAGCAACACCCUGCCCUACAAACUGAAGACCCAGAUGAUGAGCCCAUCCACCUGCAGCUAUCCAGGACAGCAGAGCAGUCAGAGACACCGUAUGCAAUAAUCACUUUAGAGUUUAAGUCACCAUCAUCACCACCACAGCAAAUAAAGACAUGAUACACAUUU